rnacentral:rRNA from 1 species
UACGAAGGGGGCUAGCGUUGUUCGGAAUUACUGGGCGUAAAGCGUGCGCAGGCGGUUCGUUGUGUCGGCGGUGAAAGCCCCGAGCUUAACCUGGGAAUGGCCGUUGAAACUGGCGAACUGGAGUGUGGCAGAGGGGGGUGGAAUUCCGCGUGUAGCAGUGAAAUGCGUAGAGAUGCGGAGGAACACCGAUGGCGAAGGCAGCCCCCUGGGCUAACACUGACGCUCAGGCACGAAAGCGUGGGGAGCAAACAGG